rnacentral:lncRNA from 1 species
AGCAACAAGCGCCCCCCCUUUUCUUUACAUAACUAUGUACACGGCCUUCCCUUCUCACCCCAAAGAUCUCUGCACAAUGGACGGUGUGGACUCUUGUCUGCUUCCCCCCACCCCCCAACUAUCACCGCGUCGGUGUGUGUGUGGUCAUCUUCACUGUUUUGGUUCAAAUCAAAAAAAGUUUUAUACGACAAACCAAAAGAGUGGGGAGACAUAAGAACGUAUGAAUCGGCUAAAAGAUCUGGAAAAUUUCAACAGAGAAUAUACAAAAAACAUUUCAAAAUCUGCACCGAGUCUAUACACAAUUUCUUUUUAUACACAGGGAGGCGCUGGGGGCUCCCCACCCGCACUGGAGACGCCAGCGCGCGCGGAGGGGAGGCCUGCAAGUCCAGCGCUGCGCGGCCCGCGGGCCCCUGUGUCCCGCCGGGCGUCCUGUCCACUCCUUACCGGGCUUCGAUGUCCUUCAGCGUGUGGGAGGGAGGCCGCUCCCUGAUCUCGGCGGACAGGGGCGUAGUCCUGCGGGGGGACACGGGGCGGCCCCCCNGUUUGGAGAUGAGGACUCUUUCCCAGACAGUCCCCAGCAUUUCCCUUUCCUUCCUGCAAGACUGUCAGGCCUCUCUGGGGCCCUGUGGGCAGCGUGGCGCUAAGGGAGGCUGGCCCGUGGUCUCUGUACUGGGCUGAGGCCUGAGGGCCCACC